CUCUUCGGGGAUGAUUAAACCGGCGCACGGGUGAGUAACACGUGAGUGACCUGCCUUUUAGACUGGAACAACUUACCGAAAGGUGAGCUAAUGCCGGAUGAGUUAUAUAAGUGCAUGUUUAUAUAGGAAAAGUUGGGGAGACCUGACGCUGAAAGAUGGACUCGCGUCCCAUUAGCUAGUUGGUAGGGUAAUGGCCUACCAAGGCGACGAUGGGUAGCCGGCCUGAGAGGGUGGCCGGCCACACUGGGACUGAGACACGGCCCAGACUCCUACGGGAGGCAGCAGUGGGGAAUUUUGCGCAAUGCUCGUAAGAGUGACGCAGCGACGCCGCGUGAAUGACGAAGGCCUUCGGGUCGUAAAGUUCUUUCGACAGGGAAGAAAAUGCCUAUAAGUAACUGUGUAUGUAUUGACGGUACCUGUAUAAGCAGCCCCGGCUAACUCCGUGCCAGCAGCCGCGGUAAUACGGAGGGGGCGAGCGUUGUUCGGAGUGACUGGGCGUAAAGAGCACGUAGGCGGUGUUGUAAGUCAUUAGUCAAAGACUAGAGCUCAACUUUAGUAAGGCUAGUGAUACUAUAAUACUAGAGUAUCAGAGAGGAUUGCAGAAUUCCUGGUGUAGCGGUGAAAUGCGUAGAUAUCAGGAGGAAUACCGUUAGCGAAGGCGGCAAUCUGGCUGGAAACUGACGCUGAGGUGCGAAAGCGUGGGUAGCAAACAGGAUUAGAUACCCUGGUAGUCCACGCUGUAAACGAUGGAUGCUAGGUGUUGGGCUUUUAAGUUCAGUGCCGCAGCAAACGCGAUAAGCAUCCCGCCUGGGGAGUACGUUUGCAAGAAUGAAACUCAAAGGAAUUGACGGGGGC
rnacentral:rRNA from 1 species